AAGGGGCUGAUGGCGGGGGCCUUGUAAGCAGCCAGGAUGCUUUCACUGCAGGCACCAACAUAACAUAGGUAAAGCAUGCAGCCCCACUGUCGUACAGUCACAUACAUAUACACGGACAUACAUACACAUUCACGGACUUACCCCUGAAGGUCUGUAGAGUCCUGAUUGUGCUCUCAAAACUCCUUUGUCAUUCCCAGCAGGAUGUGCAUCCUUUAAUGAUGAGCGAUAUGUGGAACAGGGGAAUAUAUCUUCACCCGUGGCAGCUACCCUGCGAAACCCUGCCUUCCCCGGUAUUUCAGGGCACCCUUAUCCAGUCACCCUACUCAACUUCUCAGUGGAUUGACAGCAGUGUCGACAGCAGCCCAACUCCAUUCCUGGUCGGCUCGCAGAUUAAUAUGAUCCCAGGCCAUCAAUGAACUAGGGACGCAAUACCUUUCACAGUUGAAAGGAUUUUUGACCUUGAUUGGUCUUCAUCCCGGGGUCUCUCAGGGGCAAUGGCCGCGUGUUACCAGUAGUGCAUAACCUAUACAAGUACUUGUUGUAUUAUCGCCUAACCUAUACACUUACAUGUUGUAUUAAGUUGUAUUAUACCUUCACC
rnacentral:lncRNA from 1 species